rnacentral:rRNA from 1 species
GACGAACGCUGGCGGCGUGCUUAACACAUGCAAGUCGAGCGGUAAGGCCCUUUCGGGGGUACACGAGCGGCGAACGGGUGAGUAACACGUGGGUGACCUGCCCUCAGCUCUGGGAUAAGCCUGGGAAACUGGGUCUAAUACUGGAUAUGACUCCACGGUGCAUGUCGUGGGGUGGAAAGCCUUGUGCGGCUGAGGAUGGGCCCGCGGCCUAUCAGCUUGUUGGUGGGGUGANGGCCUACCAAGGCGACGACGGGUAGCCGGCCUGAGAGGGCGACCGGCCACACUGGGACUGAGACACGGCCCAGACUCCUACGGGAGGCAGCAGUGGGGAAUCUUGCGCAAUGGGCGAAAGCCUGACGCAGCGACGCCGCGUGAGGGAUGACGGCCUGUGU